ACUGGAUGUGGUGGCAUGUGCCUGUAGUCCCAGUUACUUGGGAGGCCAAGGUGGGAAGAUUGUAUGAGCCCAGCAGUUCUGGGCUGUAGUGUCCUAUGCUGAUCUGGUGUCUGCACUAAGUUUGGCAUCAGUAUGGUGACCUCCUGGAAGGGGGUGACCUCCUGGAAGUGGGAGACCAUCAGAUUGCCUAAGGAGGGGUGAACUGUGCCAGGCUGGGAAUGGAGCAGGUCAAAACUCCCAUGCUGAUCAGUCGUGGGAUCAUGCCUGUGAAUAGUGACUGCACUCCAGUCUGGGCAACAUAGUGAGACCUCAUCUCU
ensembl:misc_RNA Metazoa_SRP Metazoan signal recognition particle RNA